GGAAUUUUCCGCAAUGGGCGAAAGCCUGACGGAGCAACGCCGCGUGAGGGAUGAAGGCCUCUGGGCUGUAAACCUCUUUUCUCAAGGAAGAAGAACUGACGGUACUUGAGGAAUAAGCCACGGCUAAUUCCGUGCCAGCAGCCGCGGUAAUACGGGAGUGGCAAGCGUUAUCCGGAAUUAUUGGGCGUAAAGCGUCCGCAGGCGGCCUCGUAAGUCUGUUGUCAAAGCGUGGAGCUUAACUCCAUUUCGGCAAUGGAAACUGUGAGGCUUGAGUGUGGUAGGGGCAGAGGGAAUUCCCGGUGUAGCGGUGAAAUGCGUAGAUAUCGGGAAGAACACCAGUGGCGAAGGCGCUCUGCUGGGCCAUAACUGACGCUCAUGGACGAAAGCCAGGGGAGCGAAAGGGAUUAGAUACCCCUGUAGUCCUGGCCGUAAACGAUGAACACUAGGUGUCGGGGGAAUCGACCCCCUCGGUGUCGUAGCCAACGCGUUAAGUGUUCCGCCUGGGGAGUACGCACGCAAGUGUGAAACUCAAAUGAAUUGACGG
rnacentral:rRNA from 1 species